UACAACCUGCCCUUCAGAGGGGGACAACAGUUGGAAACGACUGCUAAUACCGCAUACGAUCUAAUCUCGGCAUCGAGGAUGGAUGAAAGGUGGCCUCUACAUGUAAGCUAUCACUGAAGGAGGGGAUUGCGUCUGAUUAGCUAGUUGGAGGGGUAACGGCCCACCAAGGCAACGAUGGAUAGGGGUUCUGAGAGGAAGGUCCCCCACACUGGUACUGAGACACGGACCAG
rnacentral:rRNA from 1 species